AACGAACGCUGGCGGCAUGCCUAACACAUGCAAGUCGAACGAGACCUUCGGGUCUAGUGGCGCACGGGUGCGUAACGCGUGGGAAUCUGCCCUUGGGUUCGGAAUAACAGCGAGAAAUUGCUGCUAAUACCGGAUGAUGACGUAAGUCCAAAGAUUUAUCGCCCAAGGAUGAGCCCGCGUAGGAUUAGCUAGUUGGUGAGGUAAAGGCUCACCAAGGCGACGAUCCUUAGCUGGUCUGAGAGGAUGAUCAGCCACACUGGGACUGAGACACGGCCCAGACUCCUACGGGAGGCAGCAGUGGGGAAUAUUGGACAAUGGGCGAAAGCCUGAUCCAGCAAUGCCGCGUGAGUGAUGAAGGCCUUAGGGUGUAAAGCUCUUUUACCCGGGAUGAUAAUGACAGUACCGGGAGAAUAAGACUCCGGCUAACUCCGUGCCAGCAGCCGCGGUAA
rnacentral:rRNA from 1 species